GAUGAACGCUGGCGGCGUGCCUAAUACAUGCAAGUCGAGCGAACGGACGAGAAGCUUGCUUCUCUGAUGUUAGCGGCGGACGGGUGAGUAACACGUGGAUAACCUACCUAUAAGACUGGGAUAACUUCGGGAAACCGGAGCUAAUACCGGAUAAUAUUUUGAACCGCAUGGUUCAAAAGUGAAAGACGGUCUUGCUGUCACUUAUAGAUGGAUCCGCGCUGCAUUAGCUAGUUGGUAAGGUAACGGCUUACCAAGGCAACGAUGCAUAGCCGACCUGAGAGGGUGAUCGGCCACACUGGAACUGAGACACGGUCCAGACUCCUACGGGAGGCAGCAGUAGGGAAUCUUCCGCAAUGGGCGAAAGCCUGACGGAGCAACGCCGCGUGAGUGAUGAAGGUCUUCGGAUCGUAAAACUCUGUUAUUAGGGAAGAACAUAUGUGUAAGUAACUGUGCACAUCUUGACGGUACCUAAUCAGAAAGCCACGGCUAACUACGUGCCAGCAGCCGCGGUAAUACGUAGGUGGCAAGCGUUAUCCGGAAUUAUUGGGCGUAAAGCGCGCGUAGGCGGUUUUUUAAGUCUGAUGUGAAAGCCCACGGCUCAACCGUGGAGGGUCAUUGGAAACUGGAAAACUUGAGUGCAGAAGAGGAAAGUGGAAUUCCAUGUGUAGCGGUGAAAUGCGCAGAGAUAUGGAGGAACACCAGUGGCGAAGGCGACUUUCUGGUCUGUAACUGACGCUGAUGUGCGAAAGCGUGGGGAUCAAACAGGAUUAGAUACCCUGGUAGUCCACGCCGUAAACGAUGAGUGCUAAGUGUUAGGGGGUUUCCGCCCCUUAGUGCUGCAGCUAACGCAUUAAGCACUCCGCCUGGGGAGUACGACCGCAAGGUUGAAACUCAAAGGAAUUGACGGGGACCCGCACAAGCGGUGGAGCAUGUGGUUUAAUUCGAAGCAACGCGAAGAACCUUACCAAAUCUUGACAUCCUUUGACAACUCUAGAGAUAGAGCAUUCCCCUUCGGGGGACAAAGUGACAGGUGGUGCAUGGUUGUCGUCAGCUCGUGUCGUGAGAUGUUGGGUUAAGUCCCGCAACGAGCGCAACCCUUAAGCUUAGUUGCCAUCAUUAAGUUGGGCACUCUAAGUUGACUGCCGGUGACAAACCGGAGGAAGGUGGGGAUGACGUCAAAUCAUCAUGCCCCUUAUGAUUUGGGCUACACACGUGCUACAAUGGACAAUACAAAGGGCAGCGAAACCGCGAGGUCAAGCAAAUCCCAUAAAGUUGUUCUCAGUUCGGAUUGUAGUCUGCAACUCGACUACAUGAAGCUGGAAUCGCUAGUAAUCGUAGAUCAGCAUGCUACGGUGAAUACGUUCCCGGGUCUUGUACACACCGCCCGUCACACCACGAGAGUUUGUAACACCCGAAGCCGGUGGAGUAACCUUUUAGGAGCUAGCCGUCGAAGGUGGGACAAAUGAUUGGGGUG
rnacentral:rRNA from 1 species